UACGGGGGGGGCAAGCGUUGUUCGGAAUUACUGGGCGUAAAGGGCUCGUAGGCGGCCAACUAAGUCAGAUGUGAAAUCCCCAGGCUUAACCUGGGAACUGCAUCUGAUACUGGAUGGCUUGAAUCCGGGAGAGGGAUGCAGAAUUCCAGGUGUAGCGGUGAAAUGCGUAGAUAUCUGGAGGAAUACCGGUGGCGAAGGCGGCAUCCUGGACCGGCAUUGACGCUGAGUGAGCGAAAGCCAGGGGAGCAAACGGG
rnacentral:rRNA from 1 species